GUUGUCAGGUCACUGUAUGAGCACACCAGUAUUUACCAAACUGUUCCAAGACUCAAAACAACAGGCUGAUAUUGUGCUCAAUGUUCUCACCUGUCAGCCGUGUUGACUACUUUGCACUGAUGAGGUGCUCUUAAGAGACAUAAGUGCCUCUAAGCCUGCACUCACUAAGGACCUGGCCCUCUGGCUAUUACAUCUAUCUGAUACCAUCAUUUGACUGUGGAGUAGUUUUUCUGCAGAAUACUGAAUGGACUGCAAUGUAAGCAGACAGCUUUUGCUAAUUCUCAUUUCUUCAUUCUGGUCAAACCAAGUACUUUAUACAUACCUAAAAGAGCUGAAAUAUUAAUCAUAAAACCAAAGACACCGCUUUCUGGAGGUUUUGUUCCAGUGUCACUAAAGCAGGAAGAGAAAGAAAUUAACAGUUAACUGAGAUCUGUGAAACAUAAAUGAGAUGUACACAUGAAAUCCCAAGAAAAAUGUAACUUGUGUGAACUCUGUUCUGGGGAUAAGGCAUUUAAACAUUUCUGCUGAACAUGUAGCCUCCAUUUGUAGUAGUGAAUCUUUCUUUUCAUAAAGUGUAUUUUGAGAGCAUACUGUUUGAACUGUAUUUCUUCCUUUUCUGUAUUCAACGUGCAGAGCUGUGACAGAGCAAUACUUUGUUCAUGAAUGACAUGAUUACAUAAAUGACAUUUUAGAAAUGGCGUUUCUUUUAUCCACUGAAUUAACACUGUGAUAGAGUAAAACAUAUCUAAUGGCAUCUCACAUCUUAAGAUGUGAGAGAAUUUGGCUUAAUUGCCUGAUUGUCUCAAAAGGAUCUUACCCCAUGAGAGUAAUUGUGUUCCAAUGCCCAGGAAUGUUCCUAGGAGGGGUUUAAUUUGCUAAUGUAGAUGCAGCUUAAGAGUAGUCUACACCCAAGGUGUUGUAAGUCUCUUCUGCUGAAGCAAUUCACCCUUAUAGUGGAUAAUUAGAAAUUCACUGGGAUAGAAAGAGGGAGCAUGAGUGUGAGAAUAUCUACAGAAUUUAUAUACUUUUGUACGUGCACAGACAUAUAUAUGAAAAACACCACAUAUACAAAAUAUUUGUUGUGUAGAAAAUGGAACACAUUGAUCACAGAAUCCUUUUCUCUCUUUUCCCUACAUAUGUAAAAACACCCACCCCAAAGAAUGUCCUUUCUUCACAAGAUGAACAUAUGCUUGGGAGUAUGUGGGCUCAAGUUCCCUCAAGCAGGACUCUUCUAUAGAGGGUGAGUGCUCUGUUGAAGGAACAAUACUGUGAUGCUGUCACCUCUUUACACUAUGUUUCUUGUCCAAUGUCUAUUUUUUCUUGUCCAACAUACAAUCAGUUGAUAUCUAUUUGAUCAGGCUCUGUCAGUCAAGCCAAUGGAAAACAUCUAGUUCUUAAAUCUUUACAUAAUUUGGGUGUGAGCUGAGUUUUCAGUUACUGGGCAGCACCAGGAGGCACAAUUGUGUGUGUGUAAACAGAGGCACCCAAUGAACUCUACCAUCAGAAAUGUAAACAUGUAAGGGAUUCAGUUAAUGUCAAAGUUUAUUGGAAACUGAGCGAAGAUUCUGAGACUUAACUGUUCUCUGAGGGUGGGAGUGUCAACCUGCUGGAGGGUAGGAAGGCUCUGCAAAGGGAUCUGGACAGGCUGGAUUGAUGGGCUGAGGCCAAUUGUACGAGGUUCAAUUAGACCAAGCACUGGGUCCUGCACUGUGGCCACAACAACCCCGUGCAGUGCUACAGGCUGGGGGAAGAGCAGCUGGAAAACCGCUGAGCAGAAAAGGAUCUGAGGGUGUUGGUGAACAGCAGCUGAAAAUGAGCCAGCAGUGUGCCCAGGUGGCCAAGAAAGCCAAUGGCAUCCAGGCCCAUAUCAGAAAUAUCUCUAUUUCUGAUACAGACUAGCAGGACAAGGGAAAGCGAUUCUCCCCCUGUACUCAGC